rnacentral:rRNA from 1 species
AAAACACAGAGUUUGAUCUUGGCUCAGAGCGAACGCUGGCGGCAGGCUUAACACAUGCAAGUCGAACGGGCGUAGCAAUACGUCAGUGGCAGACGGGUGAGUAACGCGUGGGAACGUACCUUUUGGUUCGGAACAACACAGGGAAACUUGUGCUAAUACCGAAUAAACCCUUACGGGGAAAGAUUUAUCGCCGAAAGAUCGGCCCGCGUCUGAUUAGCUAGUUGGUGAGGUAACGGCUCACCAAGGCGACGAUCAGUAGCUGGUCUGAGAGGAUGAUCAGCCACAUUGGGACUGAGACACGGCCCAAACUCCUACGGGAGGCAGCAGUGGGGAAUAUUGGACAAUGGGCGCAAGCCUGAUCCAGCCAUGCCGCGUGAGUGAUGAAGGCCCUAGGGUUGUAAAGCUCUUUUGUGCGGGAAGAUAAUGACGGUACCGCAAGGAAUAAAGCCCCGGGCUAACUUCGUGCCAGCCGCCGCAGUAAC